rnacentral:lncRNA from 1 species
GUCUUGACAUAAAUGACUUGCUCUGUUGAAUGCAAUCGCAGAAGUUCUGUGCACGUUGUGUGUUUGGUGGUUUUCUUAAUAAGCUUUGUUCUAUGGGUGAUUUUAAAGAGUAGAAAGUUUUCAGUGAUGUUCAAUGUGCGUUUGGUUGGUUUAGAAAAUGGCAGUUGGCAAUCAACGUGCAAUAGACGAAGGAGAGUUUGUGACAGCUGAGAUUCACCCCUCAACUUUUCUCUGCAAAUAAAGCUUUAGAAACAGAUUUUUUUAGAAGAUUAAACUCAAAAUUUGUCCUUA